UUUGGGGACCCAAGAACAUCAAGAAGGGGAACAGACAUCACGAGAAAUCAAUGGGAAAGGUGUAUAAAAAUCUAGCAUUAUGUCUAUAUAAUACUGGGGCAGUUAACGAUGCUAUGGUAAGGAGUAUUAUGUGGAACAAGAAAUUUAAAAGGUGAGUGAAGUGAAUUACACAUAUAAAGAUAAUGGUUGAAAGCCACACACUGGGGAAGAAAGUAAGAGGAAAGAGGAAAAAGCAGCAUGGUUGAAAAAGAUGUUAUUAAGACUCAAUAGGAAAAGUUGUAAUUUCUCACCUAUAUAUUUCCAACUACAGCACAAACAUCCUCAUACGCCUUCUUGGUGACACAGCAGCCAGUUAAAUAUUUUUGUCUAACCAUUUCUUAUAAUAAUGUGUAGGGGAACAGAACUUUUCUUCCCUACAUAGCAGCCAAAUGUUCUUUCAAAUGUAUUAAACAGAUCAUAAAACUCCUUUAAUCAAAAGUUUCCAAAAAUAUCUCAUCACAUUUAAAGUACAAUCUAACUAAGCCCUAGUCAUGGUCCACAAGUCCCCAGAUGAGCUACGCUCUUCCUGCUUUACACCUUCAUCUCCAUUUAGAAGCCCUAGCUCACUACCUUCAACCAGGCUGGCCUUCCUGCUUUUCCUUAAAAAUGCCAUGCUCAUCAUCUGGAACAAUCUUCCAGGCUAACUGGAGAAGGGGUGGCUCUCUCCUUUUCAAAUUUCAGGCCAAUAGUACCUGCUGAGACAUUCAUUCCCUGACCACUAGUAUCUAAAAUGACCCCAUUCUCCCAUUUCAUCACCUUCUCUCAAGUCAGAAAUUAUUUUGUUUAUUUGGUUAUUUUUGGUGGCACUCCCCAAAUAGAAUGUAAGUGCUGCCAUGAAGGACUGUGUUUGUUUAAUUUCCUGCCAAAUCUUCAGCAUCCAGCACAGUUACUAGCACAUUGCAGGUGUUCAUCUGUGGAAUGGCAAAUGCUCCCACUCCCAUUAAUUGGAUACAUUUCAGAGGAAAAGAAAACCUUAUUGAAGAAUGAUCCAUGUUUUCACAAUGCUGUCCUCCAUUGUAUCUAAAUAUAAUGCUGUGCCACCAUAAUGCCAAAUUAAGCAACACAACAAUAUUGAAUGAAUAUUGAAUGAAUAAUUCAACACAUGUCUUGGGGCCUUGCAAAGGAGCAUAAUCAGGCCAUUUGAAAGAUACAUGACUAAGAAAGGAUGUGCUUAUUUCUCUCUGUCAUGCUGGGAGCAAUUUACAGUAUCCUUAGGAAGCACUGCAGUAAGGUAAAGUAAAUGUAUAUAUGAGUUUCCUUCAGUCGCUCAUGCAUUCAACUAGCAUUUCAUAAGCAUGAAGCUGAGAACUAGUGAUAUAAAAAUAAAAUGUCAAAAUCUCCACUUUCAAAGACUUAAAAUAGAAUGAGAGAAACAAAUAGAAAAAUAAUUUUAUUACCAUAUGAUCAAUAUUACAAUGAAGAUAUGAAAAUACUGAAAGACAGCAGGAAAGGGAAUGAUCAACUGAGUUGGAAAUGGGGAGGGCAUAUUUGAGAAAACUUCAUUGAGGAGGGGACAAAUGAUCAGCAAUGGUCAGAGUUUUGCAUGAGUGUGAAAGGCAAACAAGGAAAAGCAAAACACCAGGGAGGACAGCCCAUAGAAAGCCAUUAAGCCCUGAAAUGGCAUUACCCACUAGAGAAUUAUAAUAAUUUUAUAUGGCGUAAGUAGUUGAACAUGUGUGGGAAGAGACCACAGGCUUACCAAAAUGUAACAAGGAGAGCAUAGACAAGAGAACUAUAGACUAUCUAUUUACAAAUAUAAGGGCAAAAAUACCAUAUAAAACAUAAUUAAACAGAAUUCAACCGUAUAUUAGAAGAAUAAUAUAUCAUAACCAAAUACUGGGUUUUUUUUUUUAGGAAUGCAAGGUUGGUUUGAUCUCAAGAUAUUUACUGAUCUAAUUUUU
ensembl:lncRNA novel transcript, antisense to BMPER